GCGAGCGAAAAGGAUUCGGUGGGGGUGAAUGCAGAGAACGGAACGGAGCACCAGGACGGGGGCACGCUGCUCUCAGGACGCGCAGAACGUCAGAGUGGGUCGAAAAGGACGGGUGUUUCUCGAUCUCUUUUGCUCCUACGGCCGACCCUCUCUCGUUUCUUUCGAUCGUUCGUCUCUCUCGCUCACACCCUCGCGGAGAGGUAGAGAAAGAGAGGCCGAUGGCGGGGCGAGAGUCGGCUUACUACGCGGUGAAACGCUACCACGGCGUUCAGUCGUCAGCGAUCAGACCGCCGGGCAGUGUGAACCUUCCUGGGCAGUCUCUUCAUCUAGUCUACCAUCGACCGUCCCUUCUCGGACACGGCGCAAUAAUCGGCAUCUGGGAAAGCCAGAGAAUCGCUUUCGAGAUGGAUUUGCCUAAUCGUCCCCGAUGAUCCUGGACCACCGCGGUCCGAGGAAACCGUCCAUCGUCGAGACUUUAUCACAAGAUAUCGCGGGACGACUCGAGUUCAGGGGCAGCGAUCGAAACGAUUAUCACCGAUUUUCGGGGAAAAUACUUCGAGCCUCCGCCGCUAUCGAAUUUCAUCAUCUGCCACGAGACCUGCCGCGAUCGACGAUGAACGCGGGCUUGCGGGAACACGGAACCCGCUCCAACCGAUCCCCGGUUCUGGCUAACAGAUGUUCGGGGAGAUCUCGGGGAGCGAGCGGUGCUCGAGGUUGGAAUAUCCGCGGGCCAAUCGCUGCGAUAGCACUUUCAAUCGCACAGAAUUCAAGAGGAAAUUGGAUACGGAGAAGUUGCCUCGACACCCGAAGAUGAUCUCGAGGAUCGUUCGAGGCGGACUUGGCCGAUCAGAAUUCACUGACUUUGGGUGAAUCCGUCUCGCUGAUCGAAUUUCACCAGUGAAUUAUCACGUCACAGUGAGACCAAUGGACGUCGACGAUCGUUCGAACGGUUUGUGCGACGUCGUGUCGAGUCACGUGGUGCUCCGAAACGCGUGAACCGAUCUUCCUCAGUCCUAGCACGUACGGUUUCUCUUGCGCGAGAUCGCGAGCAGAUCGGUGACAAAAAUGGAGCGUGGUCCCGCCACGCGUCGCCGAAGAGCCAACUCGAUGCUUGUUUGACCGUUUCUCUUCGAGUACGCGUUGCUGUUCGAUCGUUGCGUAACGAAGACCAACCGAUCACACCUCUCGUGGAAACGAACGAAUUCUUAUAGUCGCUGCGAGUGCGGGCAAGUGUAAAGCGAUGUACGAAAGAGAAACAGAUGAAAUGAAAACGAAAAAUGUGUGCUAAAUAGUGGGGGAAAAAAGCUGCGAGAUAUUUUGUACGAUGAUCGCCGAGAGACACGAUGAACCGAAGAAUAUGUUACGUUUGGACAUGUUAGCAGCCGACGGGCACUUUCGCCACCAGAUCUCAACCAAUCGCCAACGAGCAAACGAGGUGCGAAGCUCGAUAGGAAGUGUGCGUGUUUCUUAGUGGCGAUCCGGUAAGAAAUUCCGCGAGACGGACCGAAAAUCACAUUUCCAGGUGGAGUAAAGUGAUUGGCAUAAACCGAAUGCUCGGAGUCUUCGUCACGACACUCGCCUCCUGCAUCAUCUUCGGAGUCCCCGGCGAUCCUCUCGAAUUCGGUUGUUCGCCGCGAAGGUAUUAGCACGGGUCGUAAAAAGAAAGGCUAAAAGAAAGUUCGAGGGAAGACAAGAACCAAGCGAAGAGAAGAGAUUUUCGCGUCGAACGGCCACGGGGGUGAUGGGGUGGGUUACGUCAUCGAGUAGAUUCGAGGCGCCGAAGAAUUCAGCAAGACGAUACGGCCCUGCCCUCGGUGGGCAGAUAGGGUAUAAUCAUGGCGAGUUUCGUAUCUCGAAAGGGGCACACGGGAAGAUGGUCCAACAUCUGCCGCUGCAGGGAAUCUCUGCCCACAUGCUGGCCGAUCCGUACACGCACGUACGCACGCACACGCGCAAAAAGUGACAUAGCUACACGCUGGGACGUCAUGUAAAUUCAUUCGAAACACAUGGCAGGGACGAGCGGCGUUCCUCUCUUUCUCUCUCUCAUGCUCGAAAAAGGGUUCUUCGAUGGAGGAAUCCGAGGAACUGCGGGCACGCGGGGCGGGCCGGGGGGUCGGGGUAAAAAAGGCAGAUGAUAACUUUGACUUACAAGCUAGACUUCGACUUCUCUUCGUACGGGUUCGAGGGACGUAGGACCGGACCACCGGCUCGAAUAGCACUCUUGGUUACUCUACAGAUUCUUUCUUUCUCCCAGAUAACGCUGAGGCUUCUUUUCUGGGCUUUAAAAUCAUUUCUCAGAUGGGAAAGAUUCGAUGACGAUAGGGAAUGCCUAAAAUUGCCCUUCUGGGAAGGCAGGAGGUUGGAAUACCUGAUAUACUGACGACUUCGUUAAUUGGUUGAUUGUUUCUAAAAUGAUACUUUUUCGAUAGCAACUGCUGGUAAUUGUUUCAUAUCCAUUGCAGUCGAGUGAUACAAACUGCUUUUUGUAACGAUAUAUAAUUUUUGUAGAUACAAUUACGGUGUACAGUUAGCUGAAUGAUAUUUAUACUCUUUGCAAAUACCUGAUUUCUAUUGUAAUUUGCACUUUGGCUAAUAUUAGUAUUUAAUAUUGAAUUUGGGUCUGAUAUUCAAGGAACUAUAAUAUAUAUUGAACAUAUUAAUAUAUUAUAUAAAAGUAUAUGAAUGUAGUUUCAAAGUACUAUCAAGAUACAUGUACCAACAAAGAACUUGAAGAAUGUUAUUUAAAAAUAGUUUGAUUAAAAAUUCAAGCUUUUAGUCUAUGUCAAAUAUCUCUGUUAUCGUUGAUAAUGUAAAAAAGUUUGUACAAGAAACGUUAUUGCUAAUUAUGUUUCGAAACGUUUUUGUUGGGUUUACAUUUUCGAUAGAAUCGAUAUUAUUUGAGAUACCAAUCAAAUUACACCUACGUUAAUAAUCUAUAAGGUUCGGUAGCAACACGAAAAAAAAGCGAACACAAUGAAACAACUUAGGUACAUGAGGUAGUAUAACAUAAAACCAGCACAUUUGAUUACCGUUUUGGUAUAUUGCUCUAUGCUGACGUCAAGGAUUAUAUCAGUGCUAGAUUCCAUAAGAUAAUCACCGUGUACAGUGCCCACGGUUUUUCCCUUUGCGUGUACAGUUUGAUGUGUCUGUCAUUUUUGAACAAUCGUUUCUGUAUUCUUAUGUUACGUGUCAUAUUAACAGUAUUCUUUAAGGUUGUUUGAAUGUCUAAAUUAUUGACCACUCAAAUUAUCUAUAAUAAAAGGAAGAACCACUCAAGUAUAACUCGACGUUAUAAGGUAAUGGCUUAAACAAAGAUAUAAGGAAUGAUCAUCAUCAUCAAUCCACUUUUUGCAUUUUUUUCACCACUGAUUAGUUUCGAUGCACUCUCCACCGAUUGUUAGAGACGUUCGACUGAAAAUUUUCUACUAGGCAAACCCAAGAAUGCGUUACACGUUAAUCAGAACCAAGUUCAGUCGGAUUCAGCUCAUUAACGAAUUACAGUUAUAAAACUAGCGGCACUCGAUGCUAUUUUCUUCGUUAGGGGCGAUCGUUAGAUUAUGGAGGACUACAGUUACUCUCCAAUCUGACGAAAGAGAAAUUUAUUAUCGUUGCCUUGCGAAAUUUCUGAAAUUAUUGGCACGGAUCACGUGAACAAUCUUCUACGAGAAUCUGUGGGUUCGUUCCGAUUUCGUUAAUUGGUUGAUUAUUUCUAAAAUGAUACUUUUUCUCUAGCAGCUGCUUGUAAUUGUUUCAUAUCCUUUGCAGUCGAAUGAUACAAAUUGCCAUUCGUAAUGAUAUGAUAUGAUGAAUUUUUUAGAUACAAUUACAUUGUACAGUUAACCGAAUGAUAUUUAUAC